rnacentral:rRNA from 1 species
CCCUUAGAUGUUCUGGGCCGCACGCGUGCUACACUGAGUGGAUCAGCGGGUCAGGUUGCGCGAAAGUGUUUCCUAAUCUUGAAAUCCGCUCGUGAUGGGGAUUGACGGUUGCAAUUUUCCGUCAUGAACGAGGAAUACCUUGUAAGCGCGGGUCAUCAUCCCGCGCUGAAUACGUCCCUGCCCUUUGUACACACCGCCCGUCGCUCCUACCGAUUGAGUGGUCCGGUGAGGCUUUGGGAUCUGAGCGGAAAGAGCGUUUCGCUGUUUCUGCCCGGAAAACUCAGUCGAACCUUAUCAUUGAGAGGAAGGAGAAGUCGUAACA